GACGAACGCUGGCGGCGUGCCUAAUACAUGCAAGUUGAGCGCUGAAGGUUGGUACUUGUACCAACUGGAUGAGCAGCGAACGGGUGAGUAACGCGUGGGGAAUCUGCCUUUGAGCGGGGGACAACAUUUGGAAACGAAUGCUAAUACCGCAUAAAAACUUUAAACACAAGUUUUAAGUUUGAAAGAUGGAAUUGCAUCACUCAAAGAUGAUCCCGCGUUGUAUUAGCUAGUUGGUGAGGUAAAGGCUCACCAAGGCGAUGAUACAUAGCCGACCUGAGAGGGUGAUCGGCCACAUUGGGACUGAGACACGGCCCAAACUCCUACGGGAGGCAGCAGUAGGGAAUCUUCGGCAAUGGACGAAAGUCUGACCGAGCAACGCCGCGUGAGUGAAGAAGGGUGUCGGAUCGUAAAACUCUGUUGGUAGAGAAGAACGUUGGUGAGAGUGGAAAGCUCAUCAAGUGACGGUAACUACCCAGAAAGGGACGGCUAACUACGUG
rnacentral:rRNA from 1 species